ACACUGGAACUGAGACACGGUCCAGACUCCUACGGGAGGCAGCAGUAGGGAAUAUUGCGCAAUGGGGGAAACCCUGACGCAGCAACGCCGCGUGAGUGAGGAAGGUCUUCGGAUUGUAAAACUCUUUUGCUAGGGAAAAAUGACUUAGUGGUUAAUACCCAUUAAGAGUGAUGGUACCUAAAGAAUAAGGACCGGCUAACUUCGUGCCAGCAGCCGCGGUAAUACGAAGGGUCCAAGCGUUGUUCGGAAUCAUUGGGCGUAAAGCGCGCGCAGGCGGAUCAGCAAGUCAGAUGUGAAAUCUCGAAGCUCAACUUCGAAACUGCGUCUGAAACUGCUAGUCUAGAAUGUCGGAGGGGGCAGGGGAAUUUCACGUGUAGGGGUAAAAUCCGUAGAGAUGUGAAGGAACACCGGAGGCGAAGGCGCCUGCCUGGACGACUAUUGACGCUGAGGCGCGAAAGCGUGGGGAGCAAACAGGAUUAGAUACCCUGGUAGUCCACGCCGUAAACGAUGAACACUAGUUAUUGGGGGUAUUGACUCCCUCAGUGACGCAGCUAACACAUUAAGUGUUCCGCCUGGGGAGUACGGCCGCAAGGCUAAAACUCAAAACAAUUGACGGGGGCCCGCACAAGCGGUGGAUUAUGUGGUUUAAUUCGAAGCAACGCGCAGAACCUUACCUAGGCUUGAACUCCACAGAAUUCGGGGUAAUGCCUGAAGUGCCCGCAAGGGAAUUGUGAGAGAGGUGCUGCAUGGCUGUCGUCAGCUCGUGUUGUGAAAUGUUGGGUUAAGUCUCGCAACGAGCGCAACCCCUAUCGUCUGUUGCCAGCAUUAAGUUGGGCACUCUGGCGAGACUGCCUGGGUUAACCAGGAGGAAGGUGGGGAUGACGUCAAGUCCUCAUGGCCCUUAUGUCUAGGGCUACACACGUAAUACAAUGGCAUGUACAGAGGGAUGCGAACUCGCGAGGGGGAGCAAAUCUCAAAAAGCAUGUCUCAGUCCGGAUUGGAGUCUGCAACUCGACUCCAUGAAGUUGGAAUCGCUAGUAAUCGCGGAUCAGCACGCCGCGGUGAAUACGUUCCCGGGCCUUGUACACACCGCCCGUCACACCAUGGGAGUUGUUUUCAUUUUAAGACGUGACUCUAACCGCAAGGGGGAGAGCGUCUACAGUGGGAGCGAUGACUGGGGUGAAGUCGUAACAAGGUAGCCGU
rnacentral:rRNA from 1 species